rnacentral:lncRNA from 1 species
AGAGUGAAACUCUGUUUCAAAAAAAAAAAAAAGGAAGUGCCUACCCAAAAUGCUGUAGCAAAAAAUUCUGGACAGUGGUGUGGUUGAACAACAGCCUCUAUCGAAGGCACGAGAGGGGGAAGGGUGUGUGUGCCACACAUUUGCCAUCCCUGACCAAAUGUGACCCCUGCCUUUCCGGUGACUUGCACAUGGCUUGUUGCUAGUUAGUGGCACAGCCGGGACUACACCCUAGGUUUCCUGACUUCCAAGCCAUUGUUCUAACUCAGGAAGCCAUUGCUCUAACUCAGGAAGAAAGCUCCCCUCCUCAGUAAGUGCUGUGGAGCGGUAGCUCUCUCCCAGAGCUUGCUGGUGGGCUCUCACAGGCUCCCAGUGUUCUUAGCCUGUGAGUCCACUCCACUCUUGGCAACCCUUCCUGACAGCCACUGAAAGACUACCUUUGGCAUCUGUCAACACUUAACCUGGGAGGCAGAGGUUGCAGUGAGCCGACAUCGCGCCACUGCAUUCCAGCCUGAGUGACAGAGCAAGAUUCCAUCUCACAGGGUGGGGGGUGGGGAAGCUUGCCAUAUAAAGAAUACUUUCUGCAGGGCCUGUGCGGAGAUCCACUGUCUUGUGGCUGCCUGAGACAUGGCUUCUAUUUGGAGAGGAUCCAGAUGGGACAGGAUAUGUCCCGGUAAGGGUGCCCCCAGUUGCAUCUCCUGGUUCCAUUAUAAGCCUUGUUUCUUCUGCUCCUGUACUCAUCAUCUCCCAUAACUAGACUUCUAGAAGUUGGAUGGAUCUUCCUGACCUCACACAACCAAUGUGAGUAAAACCACUCACAGUUCCAAUAGGCACAAUUGUGCAAUUCCUGCCACACAGCAAAAACAGUCAGAGAGAUCAGAGAAUGAACUUCUUGGACAGGUAGGGGGAGACUGGCAAUAAUAUCCGCUACCACAUCAACCUUGUCCCACUUUCAGCUGUUGCUGUGCUCAGUGCUCUGAUAAAGGAUGACUGAAUGACAACAAAGGGGGAUGGCAAAUCAGAGACAAAAAGGGGAACAAGGGUUGGAGUUGGGAUUACUUAAGGACUUACCCCAGGUGUUUUCAGCCUUGUUUUCACACAGACAGCAUUGAGCACUGUAAGCAGGGUGACAGGCCCACUUAGAUAACCCGCAGAAGAGUCCACACACUUCUUUUCCCCCACAAGGUCUGGCACAGCUGUAAGAUAUACUUUGGGGUCCUAGAAAGAUGACUUAGUCAAAGUGGUAGAGAUUGUCCCCCUCCAGGGCUAGGUCCCUGGAUUGACCGGGGACUUAUGCAGGUCACCUUGCAGAGAAAAGAAAGAAAGAGAAA